ACGGCCUGGGAACCCUUGGCCUCGGCCCUGUUGCCCUUCACUGUGGCUUUGGCCGCUGGGGGCCUGUGUUCCCCUGUUCUCACACUUUUGCAAUGGAGCAGUUUAACCGCCUCCAUUUCUCUCUUCCCAUCAGCAGACCCGAACUCCUGCACCUCCAGUCUGAAGGUUACCUCUGCCUCCGCAGUGUCAACUGCCCCCGUCUCCUGAUCGGAACUUGCCAGGCUGAUAAAUCGAGAGAUUUUGAGGACCAGAUUCAGUCCACUCAGUUUUCAGCACACACAGAUGUGAAGGAUCCGACAGUCUCUUGUUACCCUUGAGGAUGUUAAGCAUGAAUGUGCUGCACAGAGACCAGGCUGGCUUCAAAUUCAAAGAGAUCUAACUGCCUCCACUUCCAGAGUUCUGAGCCACCACUGCUCAGCUACAAAAACAAAACAAAAUAAAACAACUGAAGGAAAGAAGAGGAAGAGGGAGAGGAAGAGGAGGAAGAGAAAGAAGAGGAGGACAGUAAAGAAGAUAGGAUGGAGAACAGCUCCUUAUCACCUCUUGGACUCCAAUGCAUUCUCAGGAAUUGGAAUAAUGUUGAUCUUUGAAA